GACGAACGCUGGCGGCGUGCUUAACACAUGCAAGUCGAACGGAAAGGCCCUGCUUUUGUGGGGUGCUCGAGUGGCGAACGGGUGAGUAACACGUGAGUAACCUGCCCUUGACUUUGGGAUAACUUCAGGAAGCUGGGGCUAAUACCGGAUAGGAGCUCCUGCUGCAUGGUGGGGGUUGGAAAGUUUCGGCGGUUGGGGAUGGACUCGCGGCUUAUCAGCUUGUUGGUGGGGUAGUGGCUUACCAAGGCUUUGACGGGUAGCCGGCCUGAGAGGGUGACCGGCCACAUUGGGACUGAGAUAGGGCCCAGACUCCUACGGGAGGCAGCAGUGGGGAAUAUUGCACAAUGGGCGGAAGCCUGAUGCAGCAACGCCGCGUGCGGGAUGACGGCCUUCGGGUUGUAAACCGCUUUCGCCUGUGACGAAGCGUGAGUGACGGUAAUGGGUAAAGAAGCACCGGCUAACUACGUG
rnacentral:rRNA from 1 species